rnacentral:rRNA from 1 species
GACGAACGCUGGCGGCGUGCUUAACACAUGCAAGUCGAACGGAAAGGCCCUGCUUUUGUGGGGUGCUCGAGUGGCGAACGGGUGAGUAACACGUGAGUAACCUGCCCUUGACUUUGGGAUAACUUCAGGAAACUGGGGCUAAUACCGGAUAGGAGCUCCUGCUGCAUGGUGGGGGUUGGAAAGUUUCGGCGGUUGGGGAUGGACUCGCGGCUUAUCAGCUUGUUGGUGGGGUAGUGGCUUACCAAGGCUUUGACGGGUAGCCGGCCUGAGAGGGUGACCGGCCACAUUGGGACUGAGAUACGGCCCAGACUCCUACGGGAGGCAGCAGUGGGGAAUAUUCCACAAUGGGCGGAAGCCUGAUGCAGCAACGCCGCGUGCGGGAUGACAGCCUUCGGGUUGUAAACCGCUUUCUCCUGUGACGAAGCGUGAGUGACGGUAAUGGGUAAAGAAGCACCGGCUAACUACGUG